rnacentral:rRNA from 1 species
GACGAACGCUGACGGCGUGCUUAACACAUGCAAGUCGAAGGACGUGGCGAACGGGUGAGUAACACGUGAGUAACCUGCCCUUUUCUUUGGGAUCAGCCUGGGAAACUGGCUCUAAUACGGGAUGGAUUGGUAGGGGCUUGCGGCUUGUCAGCUUGUUGGUGGGGUGAUGGCUUACCAAGGCUCUGAUGGGUAGCCGGCCUGAGAGGGUGAUCGGUCACACUGGGACUGAGACACGGCCCAGACUCCUACGGGAGGCAGCAGUGGGGAAUAUUGCACAAUGGACGAAAGUCUGAUGCAGCCAUGCCGCGUGUAUGAAGAAGGCCUUCGGGUUGUAAAGUACUUUCAGCGGGGAGGCGUUACCCGCAGAAGAAGCACCGGCUAACUCCGUGCCAGCAGCCGCGGUAAUUC